rnacentral:misc_RNA from 1 species
UGAAACUGAUAUUCACGCACUCUCGACGUACAGCAGGUCGGUAUGUUUGUCUGCUGUUAUCGCGAGGUCACUUUCAUGUCGCCGUGAUCGAUGAUCGUCGAGUGUAUUCGGGCCAGCAAGCUGACAAUCGUCGACCGGAGAUGGGCGGUGACAGCAACAAUUAAGGCGGCAGUGACAGCUAAUUUGCUGGCAAACGCGAAUCACUCAUGACAGUCAGCUGAUCGGGUACGGCUGUUUCGGCUGCAGUUUCGGAUUUCUACCGUUGCCGUAGCUUUGUGUGUGAGAUAACGCAUUGCAGCAAAAAAAAAAAAAAAGAACAUUUGAAGUUGUAAUGGAAUAGUUGAAAAUGCGUAGUUUGUUUUUAAAAUGGUUUUCUUUGAUAUACAUAUUGCGUAACUUGUUUGAGCCGCUUGCGCGCAAUGCGAAGAUAUGCCGUGGCGUACUUUUCUCUCAUAGUGUCUAUAGUUCCGUUUUCGUGCGUUAAUUUAGAAUUUGCGUCGUACGCUUUGCCGGCUCUUCUGUUCUUUUCGUUUGUUUUUUGACGCUGUGAAAUGCUCAGAUGCGUUGCAUUUUUCGGCAAAUUCUGCCGUCAGCUACAUAUUCCAGAAGCUCACACCCUGGAAACUCUAAAGAGCGCGUUUCUUCUGAAGUUCCCAGAAGCGAGAACAACGGAGAAUCUUCUUUUCCAGGUGUAUGACACUGUACUUCGCGAAUUCCUGGACUGGGAAGAAAGCACAACUUUAGAAGCAGGCUCAAAGAUCAGAGCAGUGCAGCUGGAAGAACCACCAAUGCAGCAUCCACCUGUGACAGCUGAAGCAGUGCCUGAAGUUGCAGCAGUGGAAAAAGAAUCUACACCAGAUCCCAAGAACUAUGUUCUUCCCACGCCCCCCAAGGAUAUCCUGUAUAACCUUUCAAAGGUGACAAAAAGGUCGGAAGUCACACCAACCUUCCGUCGUCGCAUUAUCGAGUGGCUCAGUUUUGACCUUUUCCGUUACACAAUGUAUCCAGGAAAGCUCUAUGAGGAAGCUGCUCGGCAGCUUGUUUUUCAUCAUGUUGUGUUGAAAGACUCACUCGGGUCUGGAUAUGAUUCAUGGCACCAUGCCUUGAAAUUCAAGUGCAAGUUCGAAAGAAAAAAGUUUUUGAAUGAUGGGCAGGUGGCAGAAAUGCGACAGAAAUACAGCAAGCACGGUCCUCCAUCAUCAUCUUCGGCGACGUCAGCAAAACGCCUAUGCAGCGAAGAACACCUGAAAAGUAUUGCAUCAACUGAAGAUGAGCAGAGUGUGAAGAUGCACACAAAAUCCAUGGAGCAGGAAAUGAAAUGUGCGACACCAUCUCUGGAGAAACUCAUCGACUCAAUGACCCGGACAUUUCAUGCUCGGCGGCGUUGGGUCAAAGAAGCGAGCCCAUCAAUGUUUGAAUUGCUGCAGCAGUAUCCGGCGCUUGAAAAACCUGAGCUGAUCUUUCAUGAGUUCAAACUGCUUGGUGGCAAGCCACCAAUGGAAACCCUUGUGGAUGCAGCACAGAAGCAUAUUGACAAGAUCUUAAACAUGAUGAAGAAGAAAAUGGAGCCAAGAACUUCACAGCUCCUUGAAAUGGCUGAAGGCACAAGUGAGGACGACAAAAAAUUGCUGACAACUCUUGCGUUUCUCACGGCUCUUCCUCGCACCGUGAAAGAAAAAUCAUCGGCAUUCCUCAAAGACACAUUUCAUUGUAGUACUGGUACAAGAAUAACACCUGAGGUACCUUAGAACAAUAAAACAUGAGACAUUUUGAAGCAUGACAUGAGAGAUCAACCUGCAAGGCACCGUGGUACUGCCCGCAUCCCUGUGCCAUCUGGGACAAUACGGAAUUCUUGGCACCAUGCAUGGUGCUCACGGAAAACCAACUUCUCAAGGCGGAUAACGCAGUCCAAGCGAUCCUUCUGUGC